rnacentral:rRNA from 1 species
UACGGGGGAUGCGAGCGUUGUCCGGAUUCACUGGGCGUAAAGGGCGCGUAGGCGGCCUUCUAAGUCGAACGUGAAAUCCCUGGGCUCAACCCAGGAACUGCGUCCGAUACUGGAAGGCUUGAAUCCGGGAGAGGGAUGCGGAAUUCCAGGUGUAGCGGUGAAAUGCGCAGAUAUCGGGAGGAACACCAAUGGCGAAGGCAGCUCGCUGGGACGGUACUGACGCUGAGACGCGAAAGCGUGGGGAGCAAACAGG